rnacentral:rRNA from 1 species
UACGAAGGGGGCUAGCGUUGUUCGGAAUUACUGGGCGUAAAGCGCACGUAGGCGGACAUUUAAGUCGGGGGUGAAAUCCCGGGGCUCAACCUCGGAAUUGCCUUCAAUACUGGGUGUCUUGAGUUCGAGAGGGGUGAGUGGAAUUCCGAGUGUAGAGGUGAAAUUCGUAGAUAUUCGGAAGAACACCAGUGGCGAAGGCGACUCACUGGCUCGAUACUGACGCUGAGGUGCGAAAGCGUGGGGAGCAAACAGG